ensembl:misc_RNA Y_RNA Y RNA
GGCUGGUCUGAAGGUAGCGAGUUAUCUCAAUUGAUUGUUCACAGUCAGUUACAGACUACACUCCUUGUCAUAUUCUUCCCCCCUUUUCACUACUGUACUUGACUAGUCGAAUUUA